UACGGGGGGGGCAAGCGUUGUUCGGAAUUACUGGGCGUAAAGGGUUUGUGGGUGGCCGAUUAAGUCAGACGUGAAAUCCCUCAGCUUAACUGGGGAACUGCGUCUGAUACUGGAAGGCUUGAAUCCGGGAGAGGGAUGUGGAAUUCCAGGUGUAGCGGUGAAAUGCGUAGAUAUCUGGAGGAACACCGGUGGCGAAGGCGGCAUCCUGGACCGGUAUUGACGCUGAGGCGCGAAAGCCAGGGGAGCAAACGGG
rnacentral:rRNA from 1 species